GAUGAAGAACGUAGCGAAAUGCGAUAAGUAAUGUGAAUUGCAGAAUCCAGUGAAUCAUCGAAUCUUUGAACGCACAUUGCGCCCGCCAGCAUUCUGGCGGGCAUGCCUGUCCGAGCGUCAUUUCAACCAUCAAGCCCUGCUUGCGUUGGGGUCCUGCGGCUGCCCGCAGGCCCUGAAAACCAGUGGCGGGCUCGCUAGUCACACCGAGCGCAGUAAUACAUCUCGCUUUGGGCGUGCGGCGGGUUCUUGCCGUUAAACACCCCCUUUUUACCAAGGUUGACCUCGGAUCAGGUAGGAAUACCCGCUGAACUUAAGCAUAUCAAUAAGCGGAGGA
rnacentral:misc_RNA from 1 species